rnacentral:rRNA from 1 species
ACUGGGUGUGCCGAGGAACCAGGACUUUUACUUUGAAAAAAUUAGAGUGUUUAAAGCAGGCAUUUGCUUGAAUACAUUAGCAUGGAAUAAUAGAAUAGGACCUCGGUUCUAUUUUGUUGGUUUCUAGGACCGAAGUAAUGAUUAAUAGGGAUAGUUGGGGGCAUUAGUAUUUAGUAGCUAGAGGUGAAAUUCUUGGAUUUAUGAAAGACUAACUUCUGCGAAAGCAUUUGCCAAGGAUGUUUUCAUUAAUCAAGAACGAAAGUUAGGGGAUCGAAGACGAUCAGAUACCGUCGUAGUCUUAACCAUAAACUAUGCCGACUAGGGAUCAGACGACGUUAAUUUACUGACUCGUUUGGCACCUUAUGAGAAAUCAAAGUUUUUGGGUUCCGGGGGGAGUAUGGUCGCAAGGCUGAAACUUAAAGGAAUUGACGGAAGGGCACCACCAGGAGUGGAGCCUGCGGCUUAAUUUGACUCAACACGGGGAAACUCACCAGGUCCAGACAUAGUAAGGAUUGACAGAUUGAGAGCUCUUUCUUGAUUCUAUGGGUGGUGCAUGGCCGUUCUUAGUUGGUGGAGUGAUUUGUCUGCUUAAUUGCGUUAACGAACGAGACCUUAACCCUGCUAAAUAGUUAUGCCAACUUUGGUUGGUAGUCAACUUCUUAAAGGGACUGUCACCGAUUACCUGAC